CAGGGAUCUGUUAGAAGCAAUUCAAUCCAGAGCAUUGACAGAAAGUGGUUAAGUGUGAAGCUUCUCUCUCCAUUAGGACCUUUGCGUCCUUGAUCUUCUGAAAGAAAGCCUAGAUGGGUUGAGAGGACAGAUUCAACAGAUAAAUUCACUCAGAAGAAUGAAUUUUAAGAGCUCAAUAACCAUUUCAGAGUUCGGGGGCUUGAUGGACGUAUUUCUGUGGACGCACUUAUGCCUCCAACUGGGAAUUUAUCACUGCAAUAUGUUUUUUCAGAGUUAUUGCAUCGUGUGAUUAUUCCAUGGCUGCUGCUUGUUGCCUUUGUUGAAACUUAAAAGGCCUGAAAUCAAAAUGAAAACAGAAAAGCAAAAAAGAAAGAACGGAUGAGAAGAGAACGAGAACAGAAUAAAGAAAAUAGGCAAGGUUCUGUGUGUGUUCGUCGCAAGGAAAGAAAACAUUGAUCAAAGUAAGGAGGAGAAGUCGAUGAAGGAAACAAGGAUGAGUCAAAUGGAGUGGUGAAAUAGACGGAAGGAAGGAAGGAAAUGGUGUUCAGGGAAAGGGGACAGCAGAAGAAACAGGAGGAAUUUGUUGUAAUUGUUUGAUGGCUUUUAUGCUUUAAACUUUUGAGAUAUUCUAUAAUGACCCAUAACUUUUGAAACUGUAAAUUCCCCCAUGAAUAUUUUAAUUUGGCAGCUUUAAAG